rfam:Larimichthys crocea isolate SSNF unplaced genomic scaffold scaffold707, whole genome shotgun sequence.
CCUUCGAUAGCUCAGUUGGUAGAGCGGAGGACUGUAGAGGGAGUACUAGACAAAGUGGUGGUCACAGUAAUCCUUAGGUCGCUGGUUCAAAUCCGGCUCGAAGGA